UCACCGUUUGGUCUUUUGGAAAAUGUUUGUGCUGUAUUAAGACCCUUCUACAACGUAAUUUGCAUUAAAUGCACACGUAUAAAAUUUGCGUUUUUUAUCCAACGCAAUCAUAGGUUUGAACGUAGUUUUCAAUUUAGACUUGUAUAUACAUAUAACAAUGUAUAAUGAAUCAUCAUUAUCAGGAAAUUAUUAAAGGCAUUUACCGAGAAGUGUUACAAACAAACAUUUCUU
rnacentral:lncRNA from 1 species